GGAUGAACGCUAGCGGGAGGCCUAACACAUGCAAGCCGAGCGGGAUUUGUUGGUUAGCUUGCUAACUAAUAAUGAGAGCGGCGUACGGGUGCGUAACACGUGUGCAACCUGCCUUUAUCUGGGGGAUAGCCUUUCGAAAGGAAGAUUAAUACCCCAUAAUAUAUUAAUUGGCAUCAAUUGAUAUUGAAAGCUCCGGCGGAUAGAGAUGGGCACGCGUAAGAUUAGCUAGUUGGUGAGGUAACGGCUCACCAAGGCUGCGAUCUUUAGGGGGCCUGAGAGGGUGAUCCCCCACACUGGUACUGAGACACGGACCAGACUCCUACGGGAGGCAGCAGUGAGGAAUAUUGGACAAUGGGUGAGAGCCUGAUCCAGCCAUCCCGCGUGAAGGACUAAGGACCUAUGGUUUGUAAACUUCUUUUAUACAGGGAUAAACCUACUCUCGUGAGGGUAGCUGAAGGUACUGUAUGAAUAAGCACCGGCUAACUCC
rnacentral:rRNA from 1 species